rnacentral:rRNA from 1 species
UACGUAGGCAGCGAGCGUUGUUCGGAAUUAUUGGGCGUAAAGAGCGUGUAGGCGGCUUGAUAAGUCUGCUGUGAAAGUCCAGGGCUCAACCCUGGAAAGCCGGUGGAUACUGUCAAGCUAGAGUCCGGAAGGGGCGAGUGGAAUUCCUGGUGUAGCGGUGAAAUGCGCAGAUAUCAGGAGGAACACCUAUGGCGAAGGCAGCUCGCUGGGACGUGACUGACGCUGAGACGCGAAAGCGUGGGGAGCAAACAGG